UUUACAGAAAUCCACCUGCCUCUGUCUCCUGAGUGCUGGGAUUAAAGGUGUGCAUUACCACAUCCUCCUGAAUUCUUAAGCCCAAGAUUACAUGGGCAUCGGUGUGAUCUAAGGGCUGCGUACAACUGUUCUCUAGCCAUGGAACACAGAUGGAAAGAUGCUGUGGACUCGGUGGGGGACACUGGGCGUGGGGCACUGGGUGUGGCUACAGAGCCAGCCCAGGCAGCAGCAGAGGAGGGCGUGGCACCAAGUCCUAACUACACUCCCCUGGGGCUUCCCUGGCAAUUUCUUCCUGUAAUAGUUUGAACUAUUGAAACGGCAGGGAGUUAAAAACACGCCCUGAGUUUCCUGCCUCUUCCAUAAAAAUCCAUAGCCAGGUUUUCUGCUCGUUCUGUAAGGGGAGGAGAGUUGUCCACAACUGUGUGAGACCAUUUCCUACUUUCCAUUUAGUAAAUACAUAAACCCGGGAAAGGAAGAGAAAAGAGGAGAUAGGCCACAAGAGGAGGAAGGGGCAGAGGAGAAAGAAAGGCUCCACCAUCUGCAGAGGGGAAAGUGGCUAACUGCUCUAAAAUUCAAAUGGAAGCUGAGCAGCCGCUAGAGCAAUCACUCGACAGAGUGGCAGUGGCUUCUGUUGCUGAAUAUUCCAUCCAAAGGACAGACUGUGCCCCUGGGUUAUACUUGACACAGUGAAUGGCAUGAUGAAACCUGUAAACAGUUAAACCAUUCAGAAGUUCCUUGGACUGAGUUACUCCUGGGAAGGUUCCCUUGUGCUCUGCCUCAAACCACCGUCCGUUCUGGAUCCUGGGUCUCAUACAGAUACAUGCCCACUAGAAGUCGCCCGGAAAGAGAGAAGGUGGAAAUGUCUGUUAAUAUUCUGCCUGAUAAGAAAACUUCGAGCCCUCUGACGUUUGAAAAACCAUUGCAAAGAAACAGUUUCUGUUUGAAGAAAUAGUACCCCACGCCUAAAGUUGUCUAGAAGCAGAUUUCACCAGAGCGAGCAGAAACGACUGUGGUGAAGAGCUGUCAAAGAGAGAGGCCGGCUGUCCUGUAGAACUGUGGCUUCUUCAGAAGCUGGAC